CUAAUACUUCCUCCGUCCGAAAAUACUUGUCAUCAAAAUUAAUCAAAAAAAAUGGACCUAGAACUAAAAUACGUCUAGAUACAUCCCCUUUUAUCCAUUUUGAUAAAAAGUAUUUCCGAACGGUCGGAGUAACAU
rfam:Triticum aestivum genome assembly, contig: Triticum_aestivum_CS42_TGACv1_scaffold_408148_5BL